rnacentral:rRNA from 1 species
GAGGAACCUGCCUUGGAGAGGGGAAUAACACUCCGAAAGGAGUGCUAAUACCGCAUGAUGCAGUUGAGUCGCAUGGCUCUGACUGCCAAAGAUUUAUCGCUCUGAGAUGGCCUCGCGUCUGAUUAGCUAGUAGGCGGGGUAACGGCCCACCUAGGCGACGAUCAGUAGCCGGACUGAGAGGUUGACCGGCCACAUUGGGACUGAGACACGGCCCAGACUCCUACGGGAGGCAGCAUG